rnacentral:rRNA from 1 species
UACGUAGGGCGCAAGCGUUGUCCGGAAUCAUUGGGCGUAAAGAGCUCGUAGGCGGCCUGUCGCGUCCGCUGUGAAAUCCCGGGGCUUAACCCCGGGCGUGCAGUGGAUACGGGCUGGCUGGAGGCAGGCAGGGGAGGACGGAAUUCCCGGUGUAGCGGUGAAAUGCGCAGAUAUCGGGAAGAACACCCGUGGCGAAGGCGGUUCUCUGGGACGGUACUGACGCUGAGACGCGAAAGCGUGGGGAGCGAACAGG